CCAAGUAGGUUCCCAGCUAAGACAGCUGAGGUGGCUGCUGUGUUUGCAGAAUGGUCUCUAUAAAAGUGGAGCUGAGAUGCCUCUGUCCUGUCCUUCCUCAAAAUUCUUGCAGUAGUUGUCUGCUUUGAGCCUGCCACCUUCUUCAUCUGGUAACACAAGAGUAAAAUGAGGAGGAUGGUGACUAAGGUCUUUCCAGCUCUUGCCAUCUAUGAUCAAAGUCAGUGGUUUCCAAGGAGUCCUCCACAGACUCAAUGGACCUCCUCUAACUGUGCAUGUUGAGACAGGUACUUUUAGCAUUAUGUUAAGACCAUACAUAAUAAUGAAAGUCUAUUGUUUUUAAGAAUUAUUUUAAGUGUUUUAUUUAAUACAGUAGCUAUAUAUAUUCAUUUAGAAAAGGACAGAAAACAUAGUGUUUGUGUGGAAAUGUUGCUUGUUGAAACUUGAGGCAAUUAUCACUGUGUGCAUGGAUUCAAGGACUCCUUCGAACAAACCUGAGGCUCCUUGGGGACUUGUGGCCCACAAGUUGGAAAACGACUGAUCUAAGAUAUGAGAUGAGAAC